CCUACGGGGCGCAGCAGUGAGGAAUAUUGGUCAAUGGGCGAGAGCCUGAACCAGCCAAGUCGCGUGAGGGAGUACUGCCCUAUGGGUUGUAAACCUCUUUUGUCGGGGAGCAAAAGCCGGACGUGUCCGGCUGUGAGAGUACCCGAAGAAAAAGCAUCGGCUAACUCCGUGCCAGCAGCCGCGGUAAUACGGAGGAUGCGAGCGUUAUCCGGAUUUAUUGGGUUUAAAGGGUGCGCAGGCGGAUUUUUAAGUCAGCGGUAAAAUCGCGGGGCUCAACCUCGCUCCGCCGUUGACACUGGCGUUCU
rnacentral:rRNA from 1 species